ensembl:lncRNA
ACCACAGCCUACAGGAUUAGUCUUUGAAUAGAGGAGCAGCUGGCUUCUGUGGCGGGAAACCUCUGUCAGCUGGGGCCCAAUGCAUUCCUGACUGUUGUGCUGAACCAGGCUUCGCCUGAGAGGGGCAGGUGCUUGGUAUCACACGCCUCAUCAAGUAGGGCAUCCUUGUGGCAUGAGCCACACAGGGACCUGGGAAAUGCCUGACCUCUCUUUAGACCUGAUAAAUCCUCCUCAAUGUGGACCCCGGGCUAUGGCAUCCCAUGGACAUGUGACCUGAAGUGGGAAAUUGUCAAAUGUAUGACUUCUGUCUUAGUCGACGCCCUUUCAGUACUGUCAUGGGUCAGUGUGUUGGUGGUCAGUUUUAAUAGGUAUUCACACAUACAAAAACAAUAAAUAUCUUAUUAUUGCUCUGCAAUGUAUGUUUUUUUCAAUUAACAUGUUUGUUUUUUUCAAUUAACUUGUUCUGGAGAAGGUUCAAUCUUGUUUGUUUAUCAUUGGAUUGUGUAUUUACUGUAUGUCCAUGUCUGUAUUCCAUUAUCCGACAAUAACACAAAUAUAACAUGUAUUUGUCUUUUAAAUCAUAAUAGCAGCCUGAAGUCUUUUUAUUUGCGUUCCAAUAUGAUCUACCUGUGACUUCCUCUAGGUGCGGAGUGUGUGAGAGGCCUGGGCUCGCCCAGCAGAGUUCCAGAUGGCCUAUUGAGUUCCAGGCAUAAUGAGGGGUGAUGGAUCAGUGGCGGCUGUGGCAGGGUGGGGCUCAGCCGUGAAUGGGGGCUAAGUGUGGGAAAGAGGAGCAGGUCGGAGCUCUCACACAUUCCUCACUGGAGAGAGGGAGAGGGCCUUUGGCUGCACAUAGACACUGGGACAUCUGGGCUCAAAGCUAUGGAGACUGUUUUGGUGUGUGUGUGUGUGUCCAUGCACGUGGGCGAGAGUGUGUGUGUGUGUGGAGGGGCUUAUAAUGAGGCCAUCUCUUUUCUUCCUGAAUAGAUGGAAUGUCCACAUUGGAAUGUGUUCAUACUCAAAUAAUGUUUUCAUCUGCAUAGUCAUGACUCACUUAUUAGAAAUAUCUUUAAAGAGAGAAGAAAAGACAGACCAGAAAUGAUUUCCCUCCAAAAAUACCCUUGCCAUCUGCCUUUUUACAUUUUUAGCAUUAGCAUUUUUGUCCAUUUAGUUUAGAGCAACCAUUUGAAUCAAUGUUAAACAUUUUAAUGCAAGUGUCUAGUAAGUUAUUGAAGUAUGUAGACAUUUACCAAUUCUAUUAACUUAUUCACGAGUGAUAGGAGAAACAUUAUUUAGUAAUAGCCUCUGAUGAUGAGAGUGAAGUUCACUGUAUUGUACUGUCCGAAGGCUUCAGUGGGAGCAGAUGUUUGAGUGCAGGUUUCAUUAAUGAGAGGCCAGAGGAGAUUAGAGGAGGAGAGGUGUAAUCAGUGUUAGGUAAGUGUGCACGCACACAGGCCAGCCAUGUGAACGAGGGCGAGGUGGGGGGAACACACGUGCCCCCUGGCUCAGCAGUGCCUCUGAUCUGGGCAGCAGGUUGAAAGGG